rnacentral:snoRNA from 1 species
CCCCUCUCAGGGUCACACCUGGAGAGUUUCCAGUACUCUACCAGUCUCGGUUACUGGAGGGCGAGUCAAGCAGAGGCCUACCCAUUCGAUUCCUAACUUGGGCAGUGGCUAGUGAGUGAAAGGCAAUCUGCUACAAGU